rnacentral:rRNA from 1 species
UACGGAGGGGGCUAGCGUUGUUCGGAAUCACUGGGCGUAAAGGGUGCGUAGGCGGGUCUUUAAGUCAGGGGUGAAAUCCUGGAGCUCAACUCCAGAACUGCCUUUGAUACUGAGGAUCUUGAGUAUGGGAGAGGUGAGUGGAACUGCGAGUGUAGAGGUGAAAUUCGUAGAUAUUCGCAAGAACACCAGUGGCGAAGGCGGCUCACUGGCCCAUUACUGACGCUGAGGUGCGAAAGCGUGGGGAGCAAACAGG